rnacentral:rRNA from 1 species
GACGAACGCUGGCGGCGUGCCUAAUACAUGCAAGUCGAGCGAAUCAAUAGGAGCUUGCUCCUGUUGAUUAGCGGCGGACGGGUGAGUAACACGUGGGCAACCUGCCUGUAAGACUGGGAUAACACCGGGAAACCGGUGCUAAUACCGGAUAAUCCUUUUCCUCUCAUGAGGGAAAGCUGAAAGUCGGUUUCGGCUGACACUUACAGAUGGGCCCGCGGCGCAUUAGCUAGUUGGUGAGGUAACGGCUCACCAAGGCGACGAUGCGUAGCCGACCUGAAAGGUUGAUCGGACACACUGAGACUGAGACACGGCCCAGACUCCUACGGGCGGCAGCAGUAGGGAAUCUUCCACAAUGGACGAAAGUCUGAUGGAGCAACGCCGCGUGAGCGAUGAAGGCCUUCGGGUCGUAAAGCUCUGUUGUUAGGGAAGAACAAGUACCGGAGUAACUGCCGGUACCUUGACGGUACCUAACCAGAAAGCCACGGCUAACUACGUGCCAGCCGCCGCCGUAA